rnacentral:rRNA from 1 species
UACGAAAGGCGCAAGUAUUAAACAUAUGAUUUGGUGUAAAGUGUUUUUAUUCGCGUAUGCGAUUGGACGGUAUUUCUAUAUGUUUUUUGCAAAAGUUUAAAUUAAUCAUUUAAAAAUGCAUCUUAUACUAUUAUACUUGAGUAAAACAGGGGGCAACAGAAAAUCAUUUCGGCAGGGGGUAAAAUCUCGUUAUGAUAGAAUGCCAGUGGCGAAAGCGGUUGCCUGGGUUUUUACUGACGUUUACGAACGAAAGCAUGGGGAGCAAACAGG